rnacentral:rRNA from 1 species
AAGCAACGCGAAGAACCUUACCAGGCCUUGACAUGCAGAGAACUUUCCAGAGAUGGAUUGGUGCCUUCGGGAACGUCUGACACAGGUGCUGCAUGGCUGCGUCAGCUCGUGUCGUGAGAUGUUGGGUUAAGUCCGUAACGAGCGCAACCCUUGUCCUUAGUUACCAGCACGUUAUGGUGGGCACUCUAAGGAGACUGCCGGUGACAAACCGGAGGAAGGUGGGGAUGACGUCAAGUCAUCAUGGCCCUUACGGCCUGGGCUACACACGUGCUACAAUGGUCGGUACAAAGGGUUGCCAAGCCGCGAGGUGGAGCUAAUCCCAUAAAACCGAUCGUAGUCCGGAUCGCAGUCUGCAACUCGACUGCGUGAAGUCGGAAUCGCUAGUAAUCGUGAAUCAGAAUGUCACGGUGAAUACGUUCCCGGGCCUU